CAGCAGCCGCGGUAAAACGUAGGUCCCGAGCGUUGUCCGGAUUUAUUGGGCGUAAAGCGCGCGCAGGCGGAUCAGUCAGUCUGUCUUAAAAGUUCGGGGCUUAACCCCGUGAGGGGAUGGAAACUGCUGAUCUAGAGUAUCGGAGAGGAAAGUGGAAUUCCUAGUGUAGCGGUGAAAUGCGUAGAUAUUAGGAAGAACACCAGUGGCGAAGGCGACUUUCUGGACGAAAACUGACGCUGAGGCGCGAAAGCCAGGGGAGCGAACGGGAUUAGAUACCCGUGUAGUCCCUGUCUCUUAUACA
rnacentral:rRNA from 1 species